UACGAAGGGGACUAGCGUUGUUCGGAAUUACUGGGCGUAAAGCGUGCGCAGGCGGUGAUGUAAGACAGUUGUGAAAUCCCCGGGCUCAACCUGGGAACUGCAUCUGUGACUGCAUCGCUGGAGUGCGGCAGAGGGGGAUGGAAUUCCGCGUGUAGCAGUGAAAUGCGUAGAUAUGCGGAGGAACACCGAUGGCGAAGGCAAUCCCCUGGGCCUGCACUGACGCUCAUGCACGAAAGCGUGGGGAGCAAACAGG
rnacentral:rRNA from 1 species